rnacentral:rRNA from 1 species
AGUGAACGCUGGCGGUAGGCCUAACACAUGCAAGUCGAACGGCAGCACAGUAAGAGCUUGCUCUUACGGGUGGCGAGUGGCGGACGGGUGAGGAAUACAUCGGAAUCUACUUUUUCGUGGGGGAUAACGUAGGGAAACUUACGCUAAUACCGCAUACGACCUACGGGUGAAAGCAGGGGAUCUUCGGACCUUGCGCGAUUGAAUGAGCCGAUGUCGGAUUAGCUAGUUGGCGGGGUAAAGGCCCACCAAGGCGACGAUCCGUAGCUGGUCUGAGAGGAUGAUCAGCCACACUGGAACUGAGACACGGUCCCGACUCCUACGGGUGGCAGCAGUGGGGAAUAUUGGACAAUGGGCGCAAGCCUGAUCCAGCCAUACCGCGUGGGUGAAGAAGGCCUUCGGGUUGUAAAGCCCUUUUGUUGGGAAAGAAAAGCAGCAGGUUAAUACCCCGCUGUUCUGACGGUACCCAAAGAAUAAGCACCGGCUAACUUCGUG